UGUUCAGAUGCUCCUGAGACCAGCCCCUUCUCUUCAGAUGGUCCUGAGGCUAGCCCCAGCUUUUCAGCUCCUCCUGAGCCCCGCAGCAGCUCUUUAGAUGAACUCAAUCCAAUUCUCUCCCCUGUUACAUCUGGAAAUGAGAAUUCCACAGACAAGUACCCCUGCAAGAAAAGAACACAAGAAGUAACACCAAAUGUGUCCAGCUCGACAUUUAAUCGUACUUUUCCCUGCAAGAAAAGAAGAAUAAAGAUCAACCCAAGUGAAUGCCCUGUCCACACUAUGGCUGACACCUACCCAGUCCAAAAAAUUUUAUCACAGAGGGUAUCA